UACGUAGGGUGCAAGCGUUGUCCGGAAUUAUUGGGCGUAAAGAGCUCGUAGGCGGUUUGUCGCGUCUGCUGUGAAAACUCGAGGCUUAACCCCGGGCCUGCAGUGGGUACGGGCAGACUAGAGUGCGGUAGGGGAGACUGGAAUUCCUGGUGUAGCGGUGAAAUGCGCAGAUAUCGGGAGGAACACCGGUGGCGAAGGCGGUUCUCUGGGCCUUACCUGACGCUGAGGAGCGAAAGCGUGGGGAGCGAACAGG
rnacentral:rRNA from 1 species